rnacentral:rRNA from 1 species
CAAUCCUGGUGGCGAGUGGCGAACGGGUGAGUAAUACAUCGGAACGUGCCCAGUAGUGGGGGAUAACCCGGCGAAAGCCGGACUAAUACCGCAUACGACCUACGGGUGAAAGCAGGGGAUCGCAAGACCUUGCGCUAUCGGAGCGGCCGAUGUCAGAUUAGCUUGUUGGCGGGGUAAAAGCCCACCAAGGCGACGAUCUGUAGCUGGUCUGAGAGGACGACCAGCCACACUGGGACUGAGACACGGCCCAGACUCCUACGGGAGGCAGCAGUGGGGAAUUUUGGACAAUGGGCGCAAGCCUGAUCCAGCCAUGCCGCGUGCGGGAAGAAGGCCUUCGGGUUGUAAACCGCUUUUGUCAGGGAAGAAAAGCUCUAGGCUAAUACCUUGAGUCAUGACGGUACCUGAAGAAUAAGCACCGGCUAACUACGUGCCAGCAGCCGCGGUAAUACGUAGGGUGCAAGCGUUAAUCGGAAUUACUGGGCGUAAGCGUGCGCAGGCGGCUUUGCAAGACAGAUGUGAAAUCCCCGGGCUUAACCUGGGAACUGCAUUUGUGACUGCAUGGCUCGAG